UCCCAGGGCAGCGUGACUGGCAGUGACAUAAAGUGCGCUGUCACCCAGGCGUGCCCAGACACGUUCUCCUCUAUGGCUGCAUGCAUUCCAUCAAACACACUUAACCUGUCGCUGCCCGCAGCUACACUCAGAUAAGUCCUUUCUAUGUUAUUAUAUCGAGGAUGGGAAAAAGAACAAUGUCUGACCUAGGCCACGAAUACUAGUUUCUCUCUAUAAUCAAAUGACUCCUAACUUAUAAAUUCUUUACACUUCCUCCACUGAACAAACCAAGACAUAGGUUUAGCAGCACAAAUGUACGAGUUU